CCGGGGGCGCUUACCUGUUGGAGGUAGAGGAAAGCGGGCGGGCAUGGCACGGAGUGCGGGAGCAUGCUGCCGGAGUUGGACAGCAGGAGGCAGCCCGAGUUCGCCAUGGAGCACAGCAUGGGGCGUCAGGGGGGCGCCCGGCGGCCGAGGCGGCUCUGCGCUCGCUGCGUCCCUCGGUGUGUGCGCGCGCCCUGCCUCCCGGGCGCCCUCCCGGUCUCUCCUCCUCCGGGCCUCCCCUCCCCCGCUUGGCGCUCGUUAGGAGGGAGGCAUGGAAAGGGGAGCGGCGCGCCUCUGCCAGGGGCUGCCCCUGUCCGGGGCGGGGAGGCUUGAGAGCGCGCGCGAGAAGAUGGAAAGAGGAUGGAUGCGCUGCGCGAGAGGAUGGAUGCGGGGAGAGGGGAGCCAGUCACUUUGGAGCCACCGGAGCCCUGUCUGCAAAGAGUGCCUGCUGUUUUACUGUCCUGUUUUACACCUGUCUGUCCUCUCAGAGUGGCUUUCAGUCAGCACUCCCUGCCCAGCAGGGAACUUGGGCAGCCAGGAGGGUUCACCCAGCGCUCCAGGCAGACCACCAUGCAGCCACUGUCUGGGGAAGGAGCUAUUGAACUAAAUCAUCUUUCCUGGAGUGAGCUCACGGUCUAGUGUGGAACCCAAAUCUGCAGCCCAACAGCCACGAACACCAGGCCAGGGAAGCCUCCGCCUCCACCAGCCAGCCCACCACGUGCAGGCUCGCUGGGAGACGUGAAAAAGAAUUAAAUGAAAUCUCCAGAAAGAGUUUGAA